GGCGCGCUUAAUGCAUGCAAGUCGAACGAUGAUGCCCUACGGGGGUACAUCAGUGGCAGACGGGUGAGUAACACGUAGGUAACCUGCCCUCGAGACGGGGAUAACGGCUGGAAACGGUCGCUAAGACCCGAUAUAGUCUGACCUUCGGGAGAAGGUGAGAGGAAAGGCUUCGGUGCUCGGGGAGGGGCCUGCGGCCCAUCAGCCAGUUGGAGAGGUAACGGCUCCCCAAGGCAAUGACGGGUAGGGGGUGUGAGAGCAUGGCCCCCCACACUGGGACUGAGACACGGCCCAGACUCCUACGGGAGGCAGCAGCACGGAAUAUUGCGCAAUGGACGGAAGUCUGACGCAGCGACGCCGCGUGGAUGAUGAAGGCCUUCGGGUUGUAAAAUCCUUUUCCGGGCGAUGAGGAAGGACACUAGCCUGGGAAUAAGCGUCGGCUAACUACGUGCCAGCAGCCGCGGUAAGACGUAGGACGCGAGCGUUAUCCGGAUUUACUGGGCGUAAAGCGCCUGCAGGCGGUCAGGUAAGUCGGUUGUGAAAGCCCCGUGCUCAACGCGGGGAGGCCAAGCGAUACUGCGUGACUUGAGGGCGGAAGACGGGAGUGGAAUUCCCGGUGUAGCGGUAAAAUGCGCAGAUAUCGGGAGGAACACCAGUGGCGAAUGCGGCUCCCUGGACCGCACCUGACGCUCAGAGGCGAAAGCUAGGGGAGCGAACAGGAUUAGAGACCCUGGUAGUCCUAGCCCUAAACGCUGGAUGCUAGGUGUAGGGCUGAUGAGGCUCUGUGCCGGAGCGAACGCGAUAAGCAUCCCGCCUGGGAACUACGCCCGCAAGGCUAAAACUCAAACGAAUUGACGGGGACCCGCACAAGCAGCGGAGCGUGUGGUUUAAUUCGAUGCUACACGAAGAACCGUACCUGGGUUUGACAUGCUGGUGGUACCGAACCGAAAGGGGAGGGACCAUUCGGGGAGCCAACACAGGUGCUACAUGGCUGUCGUCAGCUCGUACCGUGAGCUGUCGGGUUAAGUCCCGUAACGAGCGCAACCCUUGUCUCUUAGUUAUACGUGUCUUAGGGGACUGCCCGGUGACAAGCCGGAGGAAGCUGGGGAUGACGUCAAGUCAGCAUGGCCUUGAUAUACAGGGCUACACACACGCUACAAUGGCCGGUACAAAGGGCAGCCAACCCGCGAGGUGGAGCGAAUCCCAGCAAAGCCGGUCCCAGUUCGGAUUGCAGGCUGCAACCCGCUCUGCAUGAAGUUGGAGUUGCUAGUAACCGCGCGUCAGCCAUAGUGCG
rnacentral:rRNA from 1 species